AAAAAAAAAAAAUUAAUUAGAGGAAAAAAUAAAAAAAGGAAAAAACCUUUUGUCCCUUACCGCAACGCCCACUGAUUACGCCUUCAGAGUUUAGGCGCACCCACGUGGAGCAAACCCGAUCCUUGAGCCCGCCAAGUCGUAGACGACCCUGAACCCCUGUUGCUGAAUAUUCCCUACUAUUGACAACCCGCUCAUUGUACCCGCAAACGCAAAGCAAAAGCUCCCGUUACUAUCCACAGGAAUCAGAUAAUUAGACGCCGGCAAAGACACGUCAGCACCGCUAAAGUGCAACACCACUGUUGGAACUUUCACCUCCGUCUUCCCGGACAAAUCAAAACACGUGUCGAAUAGAGAGAAAUC
rnacentral:misc_RNA from 1 species